GAUUGGAUUUGACAGCGGGCCGAGGUGGUAUGUAAGCACGCAGUGCGCCUGGAGGUGGGCACUUAAAUCUCGGCUUCCGACAAUUUAACUGGCGAAAACAAAUUUGCUCUCGCUGCCUAAUCGAAGUAUAGUAGAUUGGCUUUAUUCCGACACAAGGUGUUGGAACGAGACAUCACCCAAGAGCUCUUGCUCCGAAGCGUCUUGAUCAGGUGGUGCAGAUAAAUCGGAGAUAGUCUGGGCAGGCCUCGAUGUUCGGAUGAAACCUUUAGAGGAUAAGGUGUUGGUUGGUGGCACUGGUCUUGCCAACGCUCGAAAAUCAAGUCAGUGAUAAGCGUGUAGAAAGCAUAUGAUUUCCCUGUUUGGACGAGGGUUCGAGCCCCUCCUGGUCCACA
rnacentral:tmRNA from 1 species